CCUACGGGUGGCAGCAGUAGGGAAUCUUCCACAAUGGACGAAAGUCUGAUGGAGCAACGCCGCGUGAGUGAAGAAGGGUUUCGGCUCGUAAAGCUCUGUUGGUAGUGAAGAAAGAUAGAGGUAGUAACUGGCCAUUAUUUGACGGUAAUUACUUAGAAAGUCACGGAUAACUACGUGCCAGGAGCCGAGGUAAUACGUAGGUGGGAAGCGUUGUCCGGAUUGAUUGGGCGUAAAGCGAGUGAGGGCGGUUCAAUAAGUCUGAUGUUAAAGCCCUCGGCUCAACCGGAGAAUUGCAUCAGAAACUGUUGAACUUGAGUUCAGAAGAGGAGAGUGGAACGCCAUGUGUAGCGGUGGAAUGCGUAGAUAUAUGGAAGAACUCCAGUGGCGAAGGCGGCUCUCUGGUCUGCAACUGACGCUGAGGCUCGAAAGCAUGGGUAGCGAACAGGAUUAGAUACCCGAGUAGUC
rnacentral:rRNA from 1 species